GUCUAUGGCCAUGCCACCCUGAACGUGCCCAAUCUCGUCUGAUCUUGGAAACUAAGCAGGGGCAGGCCUGGUUAGUAUACUUGGAUGGGAGACCACCUAGGAAGACCAGGUGCUAUAGGCA
rnacentral:rRNA from 1 species